rnacentral:lncRNA from 1 species
UUCACAUUCCACCAGCCAAGCUGGAACUGUAAUUGCUCUGUUCUCCAAAUUGCCUUUUCUUACAACAAAGAGCAGUUUCUGAAUCUUGGUAAGUCCUGUGUGAAUAGACUUCUAGAGAGUGGCAUUAGGGUGGGGGUAGGGGUGGGGGUGGAGUUCUUGAUUACGUGUUGUUCUUGAUAUCCCUUUAAAGCACUUCUGGUAGGAUGAGCUGGAUGUGAAAAUAAACUGGGAGAUAAAAGACCAACUAGCUGGAUACUUUGCUUUUUUACCACGACACACUUACAAUUUCAUUACUUUGGAAAUUUAAGUUCCUUGGAAGUGGUUUUUUGGAAACACUCUCUUGGGAACUUUCAGAAAAUUUGAAAAUCCGUAGCAGGUUAUUUUAUAAUGUCAAUAACACAAUCUACAAAAACAAUGAGAGCAUGUAUCAAGCAUUGGACGCUCCUGUUAGACAAGUGAAAUGAAAACAAAUUGGAAACAUGUAUAGAUUAAGUAGAAAAACCCUUUACUUAGAAAAUCAAAUACUUGGAAAAGUUGAGGUUAAAUUGGUUAGCACUAUUUUGAAUGGACACUUCUAUAAAAUUUGUUUUAAAAACAAUAUGGAAGAGUCAUAAGAUGUCUGGGCACAGUGCCCCAGUCAACUCGUCAAUGGGAUUCUGGAAUCCAAAGGUUAUAUGGUGUAAAAACACAGAGAGCAAAAUGCACAAGGAUCUUCAUAGAACCAUAAUUUUUAAAAAGCAAACACUUCCCCCAAAGGAGCAUGUAAGACAACUUGAAGGUAUUAAAAUGGGAUUGUGGUUUUAUUAGUUAGAGAACAUCAUGCAAAUUAUAUUAUCUAGGCAUUAUAAUGCAAACUUUAAAAGGAAAUGCUCAUUAUGUAAUCCUGAACUAGAUGGAAAAAAGAAAUAGACCCUCAGGAAACAAGGAAGCAAAACCACCCAACUGUGUGGAAGCCGUGCAUUCAAGCUGCAAACGAGUGGAGUGGCUUCAAUACCUUAACUUAUCCCCAUUGUUGCAAAGGGAGACCCAGAUUCUUGAAUGACCACAAGUGGCCUCGGUUUAACAAGCCUUGCCAAUGAGGCACAAUGUUCCCGUCCUCAGAAAUAGAGCCCGGCAGAGCUUCCAAAGACCCAUAAAAGUCUGCACUUUUGGAAGGAUGUGACAACCCUGGCAACAAGCACAGAUUCGUCAUUCUCUAUAUUAAGAGAACGUUUGGUUGCAUCAGGCUUUUGAGCUGGGCCAACACUUGGUAAAAAUUUGAACCUGGCAAAGUCAAUUUUCAUCUCUAGCCCGAGGCUCCUUACCCUACAGAUGAUCAAUAAACAAGUCACUGUGAGCAGUUAACGAAGUCCUUCCACACUGCCUUCUCAUCCGAAUCUUGUUAUCAGCCUAAUUAUGUUGGUGUUCUUACUAAUUUGACAUUUCUGAAGUGAACACUGAGGCUUAAGCGAGUAGGGUGACUUGUCUAAGGCCACUCAGCUAGUCAGUGAGAGAGUGAGAGCGGCAAGAAGAGUGAGGGCCUCUGAUGUACUUGCGCUCUUUUCCAAGGGAAGAGCUGACCUCGUGUAUUUCUUAAAUGAGUAUUUGGUGCGUAGCUCCAUCUUAAAAAUACCUAUGCUUUAAAGGAUGUCAAACAGGAGAACUGCACUAGACCAUUUAUAGGCAGACCAUACCAAAAAAAAAAAAAAAAAAAAAAAAAAAAGCCAGUUAGGAUUCUUAAGAUGCUGAAGUAGCCUGACCUAUUGGUUCUUAGAAUUACAGAUGAAAAUAAAAUUACAAUUUUUAUUUUAUUUACUUACUUUUGACUGUGGGGCAUAUGUACCUGAAAUGGUC